ACAAUGAGAACGUCUUUUUCUUUUAAAAGGUGUGUUCAUCAUUCACCUUUGGACAUCAAUAAUUGUAGCAAUGUAUUCAGUGCCUUAAACCUGAUAGCAAGAGAUGAUAACUAUAAAAUAAUUCUCCAUUAGGAAGUUUAAAUAAAUACAAAACAUUAUUUUGGAAGCACAUAGAAGAACAUAGUGACAAUGGCACAGUCUAGCUGUAUUUUCAUGUAGUGUCAGUGGAAUCAUUUUGACUGACCUCAAAGGGUGUACCAGUGGGACAAGAUAGAAGAAUCCUACCCCAUCAUGAAAGAGUAUUUUAUCACUAAAAGGUUGAAUAUUGCUGAGGCAUGGUUAUAACAUAAAUCAGAGUGAUUUUAUUUGGUUUUAUUAUUGUUUUUAAAUUCUUUACAGACAUAGAUCCCUGGAUAGCCUGUGACUGGGCUGGACUACUCCCACUGGUCCACCCCUUGGUGCAUGGCUGCUGACCUUACCACAUACAGAAUGCAGUCAAAGACUCACGCCAGCUAUUCAAUAGACAGAGACUCUCAGUGGGAAAAGGAAGACCACUGUCUGAAGAUAAUCUUUAAAAUAAUCCAACUAUGUAGAAGCUUAAAAAUCCCAGUGGUAAAGGAAGGGAGAGGGCAAUAGAUUGAAAGUAGAUGGGAAAAUGUGCAGGAAACUCAGUAUUCUCCAUAAUUGUCUCCAAUAUAUUGCUACCUCUUUGUCUUACCCUAUCCUCAAUAAUUUAAUUUGUAACUUCAAAACUUUGUCAAGGGUUUCUAAGUAGAAAAGCAGGCCAUCUCUGACAUAUCAAAAUAGAGAUAGCCAGGCAUAUUUGUCACUGUCAAAGAAGAGAAUUACAAUUAUGGAAAGAAGGAAGACUGGAACUCUGACUGAAGGUAUCCAUAUGAACUCAUGGAAGGAUGGACAGAUAAGUAGAUAGUUAAUGAAAUAGAUACAGCAGUGUGUGUGUGUGUGUGUGUGUGUGUGUGUGUGUGUGUGUGUGUGUACAGGUGUGUGUAUGUGUCCAAAACAGCCUAGAAACAAUGGUACUUCAGUAACAAUAACCACACCUAUCAUUCUUACUUUGGUUUCUAAAUAUUAUUUUAUACUAGAAGAAAACAGGACUUCUUGGAAAAUUGGCUUAUGCCAAGGUUGGGUCUGGGAAAAUACAAGAUGUGCUUGGAACAUCUUUAAGUCCAGAAAGAAAGAAAUCACUCCCUUUAUCCCCUUCCCCCCCAAAAUGAGGACAUGUUAAGAUACACAAAAAAUACUUUUGAAUGGAGCUCCCAUUGGCCAAAUCUGGGACAAAUUGUGCAUCGUGAUAAAUAAUAAUACAAUAGUAAUAAUUUAAUUUAAUUAAAUGAAUAUAAGAAUCCACAAGUCCAUUCUAAUAUAAAGAAGUAAAUAGAUAGUUUAAAAGGGGAAUUGAAAAGCUCAUCUCUAUAGAAAAAAAUGCCAAGUAAUGAAUUUUUAAAAAAUUUGAAAUUAGAAAUUCACCAUGUGGAAAUAAUUAUUGUAACAUUUGACUCAAGCACAAAUGAUCAAUAGAUACUAAAACAAGAGGGUGAAUAUUUGAUGAGAAAAGAUAUUUACAAAGUCUGAAAGUAUCUCCCCACAAGAUACUUAUUAAUUAUGGAGGAGGAGAUAGUAACUAUGGGAGAAAACUGGCAGAUACCACCUUAACCAAAUGAUCAAAGUUAAUUCACCAUUAGUGGGACAAAUGGACAUCAAGUGCCUCCUGAGAAUGACAUAACAUCACUUCAUGGUAUUCCUGCUAAAAAUGCCCAAUCUGAAUCUAAUCAUGAAGUAAUACCAGACAAACAAAAAGAUUGAGGGACAUAUUACAAAAUAACUGGUCUAUACUCUUGAAAAAUGUCAAGGUCAUGAAAAACAAAGAAAUACUGAAGAAUUACUUCAGAAUAAAAAAGACUCAAAAUGUAUGACAACUAAAUACAACACGUGAUCCUGGACCAGAACGAAUAUCUAUUUUUCUAUAAAAAACAUUAUUAGAAUAACUGGCAACAUGUAAGUUUUUUGUACUAUCAUUUACUAUACACACACACACACACACACACAUACACACACAAUUAUAAUUGAGUAUAGUUUUGUAUAAAAGCCAAUUUCCUGAUUUGUGUAAUUAUACUCUGGCUGUAUAAAAGAACAUUCUUAAUUUUUUAGGAAAAUACACACAGAAACAUUUAGAUGUAAAGAGGCAAUACUUACUCUCUAACAGUUUAACAAAAGGGGAUAGGAUGAGAUUACCAUUUAGGGAGUCUAGAUGAAGUUUAAUUACUUGUGCUGUUUUUUUCUGUCAUUCUGAAAUUAUUUCAAAAUAGAAAGUUAAGAGAAAACAUAUCCCUCCAAUAUGGCGGAAAUGUAAAAGAUGGCACAGAAAAUUUAGCUGCAGACGGGUUAAAGAAUAAUCUCAAGAGGUAAUGGUGUUAUUGUCAGUUUUCAUAGGAAACAACAAAGGAGUCUUACCCCUUUCCAUGGUUUAUCUCCAUAAUCCUUAGAAUGAGCUCCUACAGGUAAAUGCAAAAUAAGCAUUGAAUUAGAAAAUUAAAAAUGCGAAAGUAUAGUAAGAAAACAUUUUACCAUCUAAAAUGUAUUUAAGUAUUUAAACCUAGUGAACAACAUCCAGGCAAACUGAAAGGCAUCUCUAAGGUUAUUUGUGAAAAGCAAUUUACUCAACAAUGCAAAUGUGAAAGUAAGCCGAUCCUUGGUGAAUUCUCUUAGACUACAGCAUCAAGGAGAAGUAUCUAGGUGCUACUCAGGAGACAAGCGGAUGUUUUACUCAUCUUCAAAAAUGUAGAUAAUGUAAAGAAGAGAAAGUUGCUUGACAUUAUACAAACAAAAUUCUGAAACUGAUUACAAUCUUCAAAUAUUUGGCACAUAAAAAUUAAAAAAGAGAGAGACAAUUGCUGCAAGGAUCACAAAGAUCAAACUCAGCCAAACUAACCUUCUUCUUAUUAUUUUUUUUCUGAGAAGCUUCCUAGCUAGACAUACAAGUCAGGAUGAAAUCUAUACACAUGUAUUUUGCCACCAAAAAGUUGUUAACAACAUUUUACAAAUCAUCAUGAACAAGGUAGAAGGGUAUGGGCUGAUCCCCACAUUCUAACACAUUUGGCAGAAGAUUGUAAUGACUAUACUUAUACCUAAACAAGUAAUAAAUAAAUGCAUUUGGCUUCCUUACCUUGAGUAUUGAAUCAACAUUUGAAAACAAAGUAAUCAACCUUUGGCAAUUUGUCCUUCAGAGAGAGAAAAACUCCCUUAGAAACCCAUAUUAAAAGAAACGUGCACAUGUAUCCCAGAACUUAAAGUAAAAUAAAAAAUAAAAGAAAAGAAAAGAAACAUGGGGAAAAAGGAGCAAGAGGAAGUUGAGAAGAAAAUUCAAGAAGGUGGUGCUACAAGGGCUUCUCAAUUUUGUACUUUUUCCUUUCAACAUUUUCUCUCCUGGACCCAAGAAACAUCAAAGGACUUUGUAUUCUCCAGUGAAUGAAGGAUAAAAAUUAGACAUGGAGACACUUGGUUUGGCAGAGCAGGGAUCCAAGCUAGAUAAAUUACAUUCCAGAAGUGGGAUUUCAGAUAACAUUCAGCGUGGAGUGCAGGAGUUGAAAUGGUGAGGGUAAACAAGGAGACAAGUUCAAAGAUGACAAGCCUGAAGACCGUGAGUUAAGAUCAUAGAGCCACAGACCAGAAGCAGCCUGCAUCCCUGAAUCCCAGUACGGAAUAAAGUGUCACCUGAACUGCUUCAGACUUUGUGGGAAUGAGAAACAAACCUUCCUUUUAGUAAGCCUCAUAUUUGUUAAUUUUAUAUUUCAGGGUUUAUUUAUUAGUUCAGUAUAGCCAGUCUUGUCACAUUUUACGGAAAUAUUCUUGACUUUCUUUCUGAAAUGUCUGGUUAAAUGUUUAUAGACAAUUUAAUAGACAUGUAAUGUGUUUGUUAAAUGUCUGCACACAUAGAGAAUAAUCAGAAACUCACUGGACACAUUUUUGUCUUUAGUUAUGACAAAGUACACUCCCAUAGGAUGAUCAGAAGCUUCCUUUUUAUGGGCAAUACUGUAAGCUAAAAACAAGACAGGUAGAAAACAGUAAUGGGUCAAAAACAUGAGCACUGAUUAUGCUGACUACACUAUUAACAAGACUUUGGUUGCUUUAUAAAAUCAAACUCCAUGCUUGUUUUUUCUUAGCUCCACUGCAGUCCACUCUUAUAAUCUGAAGAGGCUCCUAUGAUCAGAGUCAAAGAUAUAAAUGCUAGGAUGCCACAAAAAUGAGGAAGAAGAAACACCCUGUUAGCAAUGUCCAGGUGUGACAAAAUAAACUGCAACAAUAAACUGGAGGGCUAGUUGAUGCAAAAAAUAAUCUGACUCUUCAAUCUUAUUGGGCCUUUAUUUAUGUGGUUGAGUUUGUGAUGAAUAGUUUCAGGAUAGGCACCUUGACUUGUCUACAGUGCUACAAUCCCACCUAAGAGUUACAGAUGGUCUCU
rnacentral:lncRNA from 1 species